CUCGUCGAAAGUCUUCCAUUCUUCAAACUAGAUUAUUUAAAAAUGAAAAAGGAAGAAAGGAAAGCGAGGUCAUCUCAUUGCUCUAUCCGCCAAUCAGGAGGCUGAAUGUCAGUUUUGAACUAAAAGCCGCUCCGCUCCUCUUCUAGAUUUGGAAAACAAGCGAAAUUAAACUAAACCGCUGCACGCCUCUGAUGCGACAUCUGGACACUGCGUGGCGCUGGCGCUGCCGGAGCUGCGGGCCCGGCCUGGCGCCGGACUAGUCUCCCUUUUGAUGAGAAGAGUAAGUCUCAUUCUGAUUCAACAGCAGAGAUCAAAGAAAAGACUUCUGUUUUCUGGCCACCAGAUAUAUGUUAUCUGUGCUUAAAGAACUGAAAAACACACAUCAAAGGAGAAUUCUCUUGGAAAGAGAGGGUUCAAGCAUUAUUGUUAGGUGUGCUGGAAUCCUUUCCCGAGUCAGUACUGCUUUCUAGAACAGAACCAGGGAGAUCUAUUUGGAAUGUAUCUAACUCCAAAGAAACCAUCAGAGGUAAUAGUGGAGACGGGGUUUCACCAUGUUGGCCAGACUGGUCUUGAACUCCAGACCUCAUGAUUCGCCUGCCUCCGCCUCCCAAAGUGCUGGGAUUACAUGUGUGAGACACCACACUCAGCGGAUAGAGAGAAUUUUGACAGAUUGGCUUCUCUCACAUGGCAAGAAACAUUGCUGCUAGCACUUCUGGAGUUCUACGUUCUACAACAUCCACCACUGCUAUAUGUCUCACAGUCCAGACUUGGAGUACAAGUAAUAAGAAGAAUAAAACUUACUCCCUUAAGUAGAUUCACCAUAAGUUAGCUCAGGGCAAUUCCAGUGCAAGUAUGGUCUGUGAUCCAACAGUAUCUCACAGACAGCAAGUUGAACAUUGUGGGAUGCAUAAGCUAUUGAGGCCUUUGAAGCUUUCUGCUACAUGGAGGCUAGGGCCAGAGUCAAGAUUUAUGCUUUGCAGCACACUGGUCAGCUGUUUUUGCAAAUCAGAUUAAAUGAUUUUUAAAUGAGGCUGAGAGCAUGGGAGAUACUAAUGUGUGUUUCCUUGUGAGCUACUGCAUAAGUUAGGAAAUUGAAAUACAGAAAGAUGAAAAGUGAUUCGCCCAAGCAUAUAGAUCAAAGCUGUGGCAGA
rnacentral:antisense_RNA from 1 species